rnacentral:rRNA from 1 species
CAGUCGCCGCGGGAAUACGGAGGGCGCGAGCGUUACCCGGAUUUACUGGGCGUAAAGGGCGUGUAGGCGGCCUGGGGCGUCCCAUGUGAAAGGCCACGGCUCAACCGUGGAGGAGCGUGGGAUACGCUCAGGCUAGAGGGUGGGAGAGGGUGGUGGAAUUCCCGGAGUAGCGGUGAAAUGCGCAGAUACCGGGAGGAACGCCGAUGGCGAAGGCAGCCACCUGGUCCACUUCUGACGCUGAGGCGCGGAAGCGUGGGGAGCAAACCGGAUUAGAUACCCCGGUAGUCCCUGUCUCUUAUAC